rnacentral:rRNA from 1 species
AUACGGAGGGUGCAAGCGUUACUCGGAAUCACUGGGCGUAAAGCGCGCGCAGGCGGCUUGAUAAGUUGGAUGUGAAAGCCUACGGCUCAACCGUAGAACUGCAUCCAAAACUGUCAAGCUAGAGUCUGGGAGGGGAAGAUGGAAUUAGUUGUGUAGGGGUAAAAUCCGUAGAGAUAACUAGGAAUACCAAAAGCGAAGGCGAUCUUCUGGAACAGUACAGACGCUGAGGCGCGAAAGCGUGGGGAGCAAACAGGAUUAGAAACCCCAGUAGUCC